AGCUCCAAUAGCGUAUAUUAUUGAUGUUGCAGUUGAAACGUUCGUAGUCGAACUUUGUGUGCUCGGGUAUUAUAGCGACUCAGUCGUUAUAGUAUUUUCAGCGCAUAUAGUGCAAUGAAUUGCGCAUGUUUCAUGUGUCAAUUUCUUUGCAUUUUACUUUGAGUGAAUCGGCGUGUUCCACGCAGGCAUGUGCCUUGAACGAUUUACCAUAGCAUAAAUACAGUAUGGGAUUGUCUUGUUGUUUGUUGAAAGCAUUUCCGAUACAGAUAAGAACGGUUGAGGGCAUUCGUAUUCAACUGCCAGAGGUGAAAUUCUUUGAUUAGUUGAGGA
rnacentral:rRNA from 1 species